rnacentral:rRNA from 1 species
AUUGAACGCUGGCGGCAGGCCUAACACAUGCAAGUCGAGCGGAUGAAGGGAGCUUGCUCCUGGAUUCAGCGGCGGACGGGUGGGUAAUGCCUAGGAAUCUGCCUGGUAGUGGGGGAUAACGUCCGGAAACGGGCGCUAAUACCGCAUACGUCCUGAGGGAGCAAGUGGGGGAUCUUCGGACCUCACGCUAUCAGAUGAGCCUAGGUCGGAUUAGCUAGUUGGUGGGGUAAAGGCCUACCAAGGCGACGAUCCGUAACUGGUCUGAGAGGAUGAUCAGUCACACUGGAACGGAGACACGGUCCAGACUCCUACGGGAGGCAGCAGUGGGGAAUAGUGGACAAUGGGCGAAAGCCUGAUCCAGCCAGGCCGCGUGUGUGAAGAAGGUCUUCGGAUUGGAAAGCACUUUAAGUUGGGAGGAAGGGCAGUAAGUUAAUACCUUGCUGUUUUGACGUUACCAACAGAAUAAGCACCGGCUAACUUCGUG